AUUGAACGCUGGCGGUAGGCCUAACACAUGCAAGUCGAACGGCAGCACAGGAGAGCUUGCUCUCUGGGUGGCGAGUGGCGGACGGGUGAGGAAUACAUCGGAAUCUACUUUUUCGUGGGGGAUAACGUAGGGAAACUUACGCUAAUACCGCAUACGACCUACGGGUGAAAGCAGGGGACCUUCGGGCCUUGCGCGAUUGAAUGAGCCGAUGUCGGAUUAGCUAGUUGGCGGGGUAAAGGCCCACCAAGGCGACGAUCCGUAGCUGGUCUGAGAGGAUGAUCAGCCACACUGGAACUGAGACACGGUCCAGACUCCUACGGGAGGCAGCAGUGGGGAAUAUUGGACAAUGGGCGCAAGCCUGAUCCAGCCAUACCGCGUGGGUGAAGAAGGCCUUCGGGUUGUAAAGCCCUUUUGUUGGGAAAGAAAUCCAGCUGGCUAAUACCCGGCUGGGAUGACGGUACCCAAAGAAUAAGCACCGGCUAACUUCGUGCCAGCCGCCGCAGUAA
rnacentral:rRNA from 1 species